GGACAAAAUGGCUAGUCGGUUGUAAUUAGGGCCCAGCAGGCCGGCCCAGCAGGAAACUAUGAAUCACAAUUAGCCCAGAAAAACGUUGAUGUUGUUGUUGUUGUAUUUGACCCCUGGUGUCAUUAAGUCAGACAAACUGAGACAGUAGCGUGAUUAAAGAGGCCGCCUGCUGUUGUCUCAGCAGGAGGUCCUGGAGUAUCACAAGAGAAAGAUUAACUGGAGCAAAGAGGAGAGGAGAGCGAGGAGGAGAGGUGAGCGAGGAGGAGACAGGAGGAGAGGUGAGCGAGGAGGAGAGGUGAGCGAGGAGGAGAGGGGAGCGAGGAGGAGAGGUGAGCGAGGAGGAGACAGGAGGGGAGGUGAGCGAGGAGGAGACAGGAGG
ensembl:lncRNA